AGAGAACAGUCUCCAUUUGAAAACCAACACCAUAAGGCCUGCUGAAGAGUUAAAAGCUGCUGGUUAGACUUCAUUGCUUUAUUGGGAUAUUUUUAGCCAAGCUUGUGGUCCGGCUCUCUGGAUGGCAAAGUCUGUUGGUCGUUCCACCACUUUGAUCGGAAAUAUUUCCAAAACUAUUGAAUGUAUUGCCAUGAAAUUUGGUACAGACAUUGAUGGUGCCCAGAGGAUAAAUUCUAAUGUCUUUGAUGUGUCAUGAGGACUGUUCUUUCUUUGUUAUAGCUGGCCCCUGCUCACUUCCCUUCAGGCAAUGUACUCUACUCCCCAGACUUGCCAUCCUCAACCCAUCCACUAGAUGCCCUCAGACUUUCUUGCCAGUCCCGGUCACCUGACAUCCCCUCCCACCUACAACACAUGUUCCCACUUUCCUCAUCAGCCCUGCAGAUAUAUACCAGCACAUUUCCAUUUGUUCUAAAGCAGUUCCUGGUUGCCAAGUCUCUGUGGACAAAGUGCUGGGAGGCCAGGUAGACCAUGCCAGCAGCAAUCUGUUGGGCAAUGUGCAGCAUCUGGGACUGGGUGAGUUCCACCAGGAUACUGUGUUGACCGUCUGCCAUUAGCACUGCAUCAGGACCGUGGGACCUGCACACAGAAACACUCCAUCAGAGCUUCAAUCAAUGAAUGACCAGGUUGGUGAGGAGCUCGGCCUCUCUGUAGAAAUCUGCUCGGCCGCUCUCGUUGGCCUCUUUCAGCGUCUGACGAAAGGCAAAGACACAAAGACGAGGGAAAUCCUCGAUCCCCGGUGCAGAAUCAAUACAAACAAUCCUUGAGAUGCUGCAAGUGCAGGAUGCUGGGCAAGCAUCGCUGAAUCUCCACAGCCCCAUCAUGAGAAAAAAAACCCAAAACAAUCCAAGAAGACGAGCCAUGCCAUAUUCCCCCGCGCUGGAGUCCAUCAUCGCAGGAAAAAGGAGACGUCGAUGAGGAAUGCGCAGAAGAGCCCUGCACGGUUUUUAAUAUCAAGAUGCCAUGGACUGGCCUUCUCUGUCUCCGCAGAGCUGCUAUCACACUACUGCAUAUCGAU